CGUACUCUCUCAUCUCGUUCAAACAGCCAUCCUUGCGCAACAACCGGCGUCUCCCACGAACCUGUCCACCUCCGAGCCCUGCCUGCUAUGUAAAAAGCUCUACUACCUGUUCCGGCGAUUCUACUGACAACAUCAAUGGGACCAGACUGCGGUCGGCUGCGAUAACUGGGGCCGCUUCGGUGGCAACAGCAACGAUAACAUUAGCCAAAAACGUGCCAGGACUACUGAUACUACUACUACUACUACCACUACUACUACUUCAACCACUAGGAAUAAGCGAGAGACUUCGGGUCGUCGGAGGCGGAAGCCGGAGCAGCAGCACAAGCGAGAAACUAGGUCAAGGACGACUGGUGAUGGUGCUUUAACAACCGCUGCCACCAGCAACACUGCUGCUGCUCCUUCAACGAAAGCGGCCACCGCCGGCGACACUGAUACCAAUGGAACUGUUAGCUGUAAGCGUCGUCGUAAAUGGAGCGAGUUGUGAAUUUUUGGUGCUAUUACAUUAAUUCAAGCGAGAGAUUGUGGAACAGCGAAAGCGUGAUUCAUCCCUCUUGGUGCUCUCUCCGGGUUGCACGCGCGCUCUCGCUUUGUCGGGUGCGGGCGAUCCAGAGCGGAGCGAGUCGUGUUGAAUCGUGUCGAUGGAUCUCUUGGGGCGAACAUUAGGAAAGUGUUUGGUUUUCGAUCGGAAUAAAAGGUGCACGAGCGACGGGACUCGGGUUCUUCGCUGAAUCCGGCUCCGUGCUCGUACCAGACAAUGGCUGUUGAGGAUGGUUUCGUAACUAGGCAACAAACCAAGUUUAACAAAACGUCAAAUUGUUUGUUGCUAAUUGAACUUUUGGAGACAUUUUUUGGAGCAACAUAACCACGAGCAAUUUUACAAAAUACAAAGCCCAAGGAGCAAAUCUUUAAAACCCUUGUACAUAAAGCAGUUAUUCUCGAGACCCCCCUCUGUAUCGAUAUACUCGUAAGUAAGUUCAUCGGAAUAGCUGUGACAAACCAAAGCAUCUGAUCAAAAGACAAAACAAAACCACGUUUUUUCUCACGUUUUCUCUAGCGCGUAAGUUUAUCUCGAAUCUUGUCGCGACAAGACCCGAACAAAACUAUUUAUACAAUUAUCGAAUUAUAAACGAAACAAAUGGAAAAAGACAAACUAGUAGAUGAAGCUGUUAGUUAUUUAAGCGAAACAAAAGCGUAUUGUGACCCCCCAUUUAGCGAGUAAAGAGCCUAACGUAGGAAGGAACGAAACAAAACAAAGAAAAGCGCAAUUGUGAUAUCAUGACUUCUUUUUUCUUAAUUUUUAAAGUGGAAAAUAUUUCUAUACACAAACACAAACAAGCGAGCGAAGCACAAAAGGUUGCCGAUUGAAUGAGUGUGGAAGAAGCUAAAACAAUCGUUACGGUUAGAAUCGGAUCAAUUUUAAAUUGAGAAAAAAAGAUGGCAACAAAGAAGAGGAACACAAAAUGGAAAACGCGGCUGCCGCGUUCGGAACCCUCCCCUCCCCCCGGAUAUAGAGAUAAACUGUAAAUAUUUAUUUUAAAAAUUGACAAAAAAGAGUUACAUAAUGACAAACUUUACUUGUGUCUACACAUAUAUACCCUAUAUUUAAACUACAAAAUAAGGUUUCUUCUAAGUAUUUUUCUGCUUUUAACAAUUGUUCGCGCGUAUAAAGCAUGGGAAGAAUUUAAUCGUGGUAGUGCAUUGGUACAAUAAGAUUUGUAGGUUUAAGAACACAAACAAAGCGAAAAAAAGUCACAAAAAGUCAACAAUCAACAUAAUUCAACUUCAUUCACUAGUAACGACGAAUAGAUUUAAAACAUUUUUAUCGAUUAAGAACUCUUGCUAGGUAUGUUUUUCUUAAGGCGAACUCGAAUCGAAAAUCCUACACGACGACGACGUUUGUUUGUAUAUAACUUAUUUGGUGCCCGCGAGUCAUCAUCGUGACAUCGGGGUUUGUCAUUUGUUAAACCAAAAAUCUUUGCGAAAAAAAAACAAAUUGAGAAAAAAACAGUUCGUAACUAAUUUGUAAAGCAGUACUGCAUUAGUUUAAUUUUUCAUUGAGUCCUCAGUUAUCCAUUACGAGUAAUGCAAAACUUAUUUUUCUGUUGAAUACUUGAAUGAAUGAAAGGGAUGAAAAGAUGGUUUUUGAAUAAAUCAAAACGAGGAAUGGUUUCGAUAAAUGAACA